rnacentral:rRNA from 1 species
AGCAGCCGCGGUAAUUCCAGCUCCAAUAGCGUAUAUUAAAGUUGUUGCAGUUAAAAAGCUCGUAGUUGAAUUUCGGGGUUAGUAGGCUGGUCAUGCCACAGGUAUGUACUGGUCUCACUGAUUCCUCCUUCCUGAUGACCCGUAAUGCCAUUAAUUUGGUGUUGCGAGGAAUCUGGACUGUUACUUUGAAAAAAUUAGAGUGUUUAAAGCAGGCUAACGCUUGAAUACAUUAGCAUGGAAUAAUGAAAUAGGACGUUCGAUCCUAUUUUGUUGGUUUCUAGGAUUGACGUAAUGAUUAAUAGGGAUAGUUGGGGGCAUUAGUAUUCAAUUGUCAGAGGUGAAAUUCUUGGAUUUAUUGAAGACUAACUACUGCGAAAGCAUUUGCCAAGGAUGUUUUCAUUAAUCAAGAACGAAAGUUAGGGGAUCGAAGACGAUCAGAUACCGUCGUAGUCUUAACCAUAAACUAUGCCGACUAGGGAUCGGAUGAUGUUAAUUUUUUAAUGACUCAUUCGGCGCCUUACG